UGCAUGGAGACUGGCCACUUCAGACCACAGCUGCUUUAGCUUCUGCGUGCUGAUCCCGAGGAAAUACUCCCCUAGCAGCUCCUUUUGAGGAACAGGGAACCCUCCCAGCUAUAUCUUCAGUUAAGUCCUUCUCCUUUCAUAUAAAUCUACAUCUUUACAAGUUGGAGACUUUGCAGGGUGUGGUCUUGCCCUCAAGGUACCUUUUCUAUCAUUCCUGUAUCACAGAGCAACUUUUCCUUUGGUGGCUCUAAUCUAACAUUACAGCUGGUUUGUUGUCUGUAUCCUCCUUGUGUUGAACUUCAAGCUUGCUCACACACCUUUCCUGUACCAAACAAUGGCCUCUAGAUGCAUUCUGAGAGCCCUUGUUCUCUUCUGAGACACCAAUAGGCAGGCCUCUAUUGUCUUGUAUUUUUUUCAGUAUUCUUGUCUUCUGAGCCUCCUCCUGAGUGUUCCACUAAGCUGCUUACAACAGUCAAGAGCUUUAUUACCCAGAGUUCCAAACUUUUCCACAUUCUUCCCUCAACUCAGUUCUACAGGCCUGGCAACCACACAGGCUUACCACACUUACAGCCUCAAUUCUUGGUAAUGUAAGACUCUGGUGAGCCUUAACAUACCAGGUACUCCCUGAGUGAAUGAUGUAGAGCUGGGAAUCGAUGCAGAAAGCAAGAGGAAUUUAUUGUUCCAACAUGUUGGGAGUCACCCUGCACAUGGAGAGAGAGAACGACCACACACAGCCUGUCCUGCCAGCCUUUAUAAAGUUCUCCAUUCAGCAGUCAUUAGGCACAAUGUGAUUGGCCGAACAGUGUGACUUUUAAACUGAUCGGUCUAUAAGGGAAUGAGGGACUUGAUCAAAUGAAAUGAUAGAUAGAUGAUAAAGCAGAAGCCCGAGGAUGCAUUCCCAUCAUCCUAGGCUUGAGCAGCAUAGUGGGAGCUGCACCUCAAGUGCAUUAAACAAACACAGGAAACCAUAAAACGAUGUGUAGAGGAGCAAUUGGGAUGGAAAGCAAUUCAAAUGGAAGAAAAAGGUGUCUACUGAGGAAGCAUUACAUUAUCUGGGCUGGGUUCUAGGAAAAUAUAAAAAAGUGUCUUGUGCCUACAAGCCUCCAUAAAUAUCCAGCCCUCGAGCCAAAAGGAAAACAAAAGCCCAGAGAAGUGUGGAAGGAUGUGUGUACUCAGGAAGUAGAAAGUGAACAGGAAGUGGGGACAGGCUAUAAAGCUUCAAAACCUGUCUCCUUUGACCCACUUCCUCCAUUGAGACUCUACUAUGGUACAGUCCUUUUUGGACACAGUCAUUGAAUAUUUGCAACAGGAAACAACACAUUACUGGAGCACAUUGUGUAUUGUUUGAGCUUUCCACAGGCUUUCAGUUACUUUACAAGUCUUGUAAUGGAAAGAGGAAUACUAAUCAUGAACAAUUCUUGCCUAGCAAUACACUGUAAAUUGCAUCUAGUGGAGAUUCAAUUGGUGACCCUUGCUGCACAUGGAAAGCCACUUUUGCAACACCAUGAAUAUUCAUCCCAACACUUGUGAGUUGUAAAUGUACCCUUUCUAUUCUUUUUACAUCAGUUGCAACAGCACUCCCAAAUCCCUCAUUCAAUUAAUGAAUUAAAUAAAAUAUUUGACAUA
rnacentral:lncRNA from 1 species